GCUGGACACCGUACUCCAGGUUGGUUCUCACGAGAGCAGAGCAGAGGGGUAGAAGAAGGUCGAUAUAGUUUUGCUAACAGGUGCAGCACAUGUUUACCUUGUUCUCCUGCGUCCUCUCGCUUCCCAUUUUCACCUUCCGCUGGGCACACCUUGCACGAUAAAAGGAUUCGUGUCCUCAGGUCCAGCGGCCAGCCGGGGUCAUUCCCACCCAUAUCAUGACAAAAGCCCAGCACUCUUGCUCUCCAAGGGAGAUUCGCAUCUGCGGAUGCUUGGCGUCACCGUGGAUUUCUCCUAACGUGCGUGGUUGGUCCAAGAGCAGCUCAGUUGGACAAGAUGAUCAUUCACCUCUAAGCGGGUCAUGAGGAUCAUGGAAGUGAGUUGGGUUAACCUGUGUUUGCGCGGCUGGGUAUCCAUGUGGGUGCUGGAUGCUUCUGCUCACCUUGUGACGAGAAACUCAAGUAUUGAACCACUUCUCGGCGGGCUUCGUGGUUGGCGUUGGCUCCUCUGGCCAGGGUUCUAGAGAAGUUCAGAGAAUCAUGGAAUUAUUGAAUGGUUUGGGCUGGAAGGGACCUGUGAAGGUCAUUUAGUCCAACCCCAUGCCAUGGGCAGGGAGGUCUUCAACGAGACCAGAUUGCUCAGAGCCCCGUCCAACCUGACCUGGAAUGUUUCCAGGGAUGGGGCAUCUCCCACCUCUCUGGGCAACCUGGGCCAGGGGCUCACCACCCUCAACAUAAAACGUUUCUUCUGGAACCGUAGAAUGGUUUGGGUGGGAAAGGACCUUUGAAGACCAUCGAGUCCAACUCCCUGCUGUGGGCAGGGAUGUCUUCAACUAGACCAGGUUGCUCAGAGCCGCAUCCAACCUGACCUUGAACCCCUCCAGGGAUGGGGCAUUGCAGAACAGAGAGCAGCGAUGCCCUUGGUCAGCCAGAACGUGACGGGCAUCUUUUCAGGACAUCCCUCUUCUCCGGUUGUGAUCUCUCAGCGUCCCCUUUUUGUCUGGAGAUUUGAUUUCCCCCAAACGGGCGACUGUCUCACUCGACUUCCUUUGGCUUGAGUUUUCCUUCCCGCUUCCCAGUGCCGCAGCGGGUCGGGUGCCGGCCGUGCCGGGUCUCGCCCCACCUGGCUGGGUGGGUUUGGCACCGGAGGAGAAAUUUAACAUGAUGCAGUUCGGAAACCCAUCUUCUGGGCUCGACGGGUGUGACGGGCUCCGUCUUUAAUUUCCAUUCGUUCCCCAUCCUCUGGUCCUGCUCAUUUAUCGCCGUCCAAACGAUAACGAUGCGAGCCAAGCUCUUGGGUGAUGAAUACGCAGAUAUUUUGAGACAACGUAGAGCAGAAAAUGCAUUUCCAGUCUAAAGCCGACAGCACCUCGAGGUUUAACUCCCCUUCCUCAUGCCGUUCUCAAAUAUUUUUGCGAAAAAAAUGUUCAUAUCUUGCAUUUCUUGCUCUAAGCCAGGGUGGAAGAUGAAAUCGGGGACAAAGCGCUGGGUCCUGUUUCUUUUUAAUAUCCUCUCCUCGAAUUCUCCGCCGCCCGCUGCAAAACAGGACUCCGGAUUAGACGGAUAUUUGUCUAACGCAGCCAAGUGCUUACGUAGAUCGUCAGACGCAAAAUACGGUUUACAUAACUGCAAAGAAACCCAUCUUUUAACUUUUAUUGGAAGCAGUGGCUGUAAUUAAGAGUAUGAAGCCUUGCAGGCCAGUGAUUAGAACAGAGGAUUAGGCGCUGGGAUUUCAUUUCUAUUCCUGGCUUUGCCAUCGAGCUGUGCUAUUUCAGUCGCCACUUUCCCUUAUUUUAAAAAUAAAAGCUAUACUGCUGUCCGGGCCGCCGUGAAACG